GAUGAACGCUGGCGGCGUGCCUAAUACAUGCCAGUCGAGCGAACAGACGCGGAGCUUGCUCCUCUGACGUUAGGGGCGGGCGUGUGAGUAACACGUGGAUAACCCACCUAUAAGUGUGGGAUCACUUGGGGAAACCGGAGCUAAUACCGUAGAAGAUAUUGAAGCGCAGGGUUCAAUAGUGAAAGACGGCUUUGCGGUAACUUAUAGAUGGAUCCGGGCCGCAUUGGAUAGUUGGUAAGGUCACGGGCUACCAAGGCGACGAUGCGUAGCCGAGCGGAGAGGGUGAUCGGCCGCCUUGGAGGGUGGACACGGUCCAGACUCCUGAGGGAGGCAGCAGUAGGGAAUCUUACGCAAUCGGCGAGAGCAUGACGGAGCAACGGCGCGUGAGAGAUAAAGGUCUCGCGAUCGUAAAGAUCUGUUACGAGGGAAGAACAAAUGUCUAAUUAACUAUGCACGUCUUGACGGUACCUAGUCAGAAAGCAACGGCUAACUACGUG
rnacentral:rRNA from 1 species